GAAAGCCGGAUGCGGGAAAUCUGCACGUCCGGUUUGACGAGGGGGAGGGCUGUCGGGGGCUUCCGGCACCCUCUCUACUCUAC
rnacentral:ncRNA from 1 species